rnacentral:rRNA from 1 species
CACGCAGGCGGUUUGUUAAGUCAGAUGUGAAAUCCCCGGGCUCAACCUGGGAACUGCAUCUGAUACUGGCAAGCUUGAGUCUCGUAGAGGGGGGUAGAAUUCCAGGUGUAGCGGUGAAAUGCGUAGAGAUCUGGAGGAAUACCGGUGGCGAAGGCGGCCCCUGGACGAAGACUGACGCUCAGGUGCGAAAGCGUGGGAGCAAACA